AUUGAACGCUGGCGGCAGGCCUAACACAUGCAAGUCGAGCGAGUGGCGGACGGGUGAGUAAUGUAUGGGGACUGCCCGAUAGAGGGGGAUAACUACUGGUAACGGUGGCUAAUACCGCAUACUAUCGGAUAACCCAUAUGGGCUUAGCUAGUGGGUGGGGUAAAGGCUCACCUAGGCGACGAUCUCUAGCUGGUCUGAGAGGCUGAUCGGCAAAACUGGGACGGGGACACGGCCCAAAUUCCAACGGGGGCAGCAGUGGGGAAUAUUGCACAAUGGGCGCAAGCCGAAUGCAGCAAGGCCGCGUGUGUGAGGAAGGCCUUAGGGUUGUAAAGUACGUUCAGCGGGGAGGCGUUACCCGAAGAGAAAGCAACGGCUAACUACGUGCCAGCAGCCGCGGUAAUAC
rnacentral:rRNA from 1 species